rnacentral:rRNA from 1 species
CGGUCGACGUGUACAGAGAGUUUGUAGUCCUGGCGCGAGACGAACGGCUGGCGGCGUGCCUAACACAUGCAAGUCGAACGAGAAUCUAUGGAAAGAGGCUUCGGCCAAUUGAAGUAGAGGACGAGUGGCGGACGGGUGAGUAACGCGUGAGCAACCUGCCUCGGAGUGGGGGACGAACAGGGGGAAACCUCUGCUAAUACCGCAUAAUGUCAUUGGGUGGCAUCACUUAAUGACCAAAGAUUUAUUGCUCUGAGAUGGGCUCGCGUCUGAUUAGGUAGUUGGUGAGGUAACGGCUCACCAAGCCUACGAUCAGUAGCCGGGUUGAGAGACUGAACGGCCACAUUGGGACUGAGAUACGGCCCAGACUCCUACGGGAGGCAGCAGUGGGGAAUAUUGGGCAAUGGGCGAAAGCCUGACCCAGCAACGCCGCGUGAAGGAAGAAGGCUUUCGGGUUGUAAACUUCUUUUACCAGGGACGAAGGACGUGACGGUACCUGGAGAAAAAGCCCCGGCUAACUACGUG